rnacentral:rRNA from 1 species
CAUGCCAGUCGAACGAAGCACCCCUCCCGAAGAUUGACACAGCUUGCUGUAGAUUGAUUCAUUUGAGGUGACUGAGUGGCGGACGGGUGAGUAACGCGUGGGUAACCUGCCUCAUAGAGGGGGACAACAGUUGGAAACGACUGCUAAUACCGCAUAGUAAGAAAGAUUCGCAUGUUUCUUUCUUGAAAGAUUUAUCGCUAUGAGAUGGACCCGCGUCUGAUUAGCUAGUUGGUAAGGUAACGGCUUACCAAGGCGAUGAUCAGUAGCCGGCUUGAGAGAGUGAACGGCCACAUUGGGACUGAGACACGGCCCAAACUCCUACGGGAGGCAGCAGUGGGGAAUAUUGCACAAUGGGGGAAACCCUGAUGCAGCGACGCCGCGUGAGUGAAGAAGUAUUUCGGUAUGUAAAGCUCUAUCAGCAGGGAAGAUAAUGACGGUACCUGACUAAGAAGCCCCGGCUAACUACGUGCCAGCAGCCGCGGUAAUACGUAGGGGGCAAGCGUUAUCCGGAUUUACUGGGUGUAAAGGGUGCGUAGGUGGCAAGGCAAGUCAGAUGUGAAAGCCCGGGGCUCAACCCCGGUACUGCAUUUGAAACUGUUCUAGCUAGAGUGCAGGAGAGGUAAGCGGAAUUCCUAGUGUAGCGGUGAAAUGCGUAGAUAUUAGGAGGAACACCAGUGGCGAAGGCG